GGUUUUGUAGUCAAUGAUGAUUUUAAAUUGCAAAUUUAAAGGUGAAUUUAAUUCCAAGACUU
rnacentral:tRNA from 1 species